UACGGGGGGGAGCAAGCGUUGUUCGGAUUUACUGGGCGUAAAGGGCGCGUAGGCGGCCACCGCAAGUCGGUUGUGAAAUCUCUGGGCUUAACCCAGAAAGGUCAACCGAUACUGCGGGGCUAGAGUGCAGAAGGGGGCAACUGGAAUUCUCGGUGUAGCGGUGAAAUGCGUAGAUAUCGAGAGGAACACCUGCGGCGAAGGCGGGUUGCUGGGCUGACACUGACGCUGAAGCGCGAAAGCUAGGGGAGCAAACGGG
rnacentral:rRNA from 1 species